UUAAGUUAUUAAGGGCGCACGGUGGAUGCCUUGGCACUAGAAGCCGAUGAAGGACGUUACUAACGACGAUAUGCUUUGGGGAGCUGUAAGUAAGCUUUGAUCCAGAGAUUUCCGAAUGGGGAAACCCAGCAUGAGUUAUGUCAUGUUAUCGAUAUGUGAAUACAUAGCAUAUCAGAAGGCACACCCGGAGAACUGAAACAUCUUAGUACCCGGAGGAAGAGAAAGAAAAUUCGAUUCCCUUAGUAGCGGCGAGCGAAACGGGAAGAGCCCAAACCAACAAGCUUGCUUGUUGGGGUUGUAGGACACUCUGUACGGAGUUACAAAGGACGACAUUAGACGAAUCAUCUGGAAAGAUGAAUCAAAGAAGGUAAUAAUCCUGUAGUCGAAAAUGUUGUCUCUCUUGAGUGGAUCCUGAGUACGACGGAGCACGUGAAAUUCCGUCGGAAUCUGGGAGGACCAUCUCCUAAGGCUAAAUACUCUCUAGUGACCGAUAGUGAACCAGUACCGUGAGGGAAAGGUGAAAAGCACCCCGGAAGGGGAGUGAAAUAGAACCUGAAACCGUGUGCUUACAAGUAGUCAGAGCCCGUUAAUGGGUGAUGGCGUGCCUUUUGUAGAAUGAACCGGCGAGUUACGAUUUGAUGCAAGGUUAAGCAGUAAAUGUGGAGCCGUAGCGAAAGCGAGUCUGAAUAGGGCGUUUAGUAUUUGGUCGUAGACCCGAAACCAGGUGAUCUACCCUUGGUCAGGUUGAAGUUCAGGUAACACUGAAUGGAGGACCGAACCGACUUACGUUGAAAAGUGAGCGGAUGAACUGAGGGUAGCGGAGAAAUUCCAAUCGAACCUGGAGAUAGCUGGUUCUCUCCGAAAUAGCUUUAGGGCUAGCCUCAAGUGAUGAUUAUUGGAGGUAGAGCACUGUUUGGACGAGGGGCCCCUCUCGGGUUACCGAAUUCAGACAAACUCCGAAUGCCAAUUAAUUUAACUUGGGAGUCAGAACAUGGGUGAUAAGGUCCGUGUUCGAAAGGGAAACAGCCCAGACCACCAGCUAAGGUCCCAAAAUAUAUGUUAAGUGGAAAAGGAUGUGGCGUUGCCCAGACAACUAGGAUGUUGGCUUAGAAGCAGCCAUCAUUUAAAGAGUGCGUAAUAGCUCACUAGUCGAGUGACACUGCGCCGAAAAUGUACCGGGGCUAAACAUAUUACCGAAGCUGUGGAUUGUCCUUUGGACAAUGGUAGGAGAGCGUUCUAAGGGCGUUGAAGCAUGAUCGUAAGGACAUGUGGAGCGCUUAGAAGUGAGAAUGCCGGUGUGAGUAGCGAAAGACGGGUGAGAAUCCCGUCCACCGAUUGACUAAGGUUUCCAGAGGAAGGCUCGUCCGCUCUGGGUUAGUCGGGUCCUAAGCUGAGGCCGACAGGCGUAGGCGAUGGAUAACAGGUUGAUAUUCCUGUACCACCUAUAAUCGUUUUAAUCGAUGGGGGGACGCAGUAGGAUAGGCGAAGCGUGCGAUUGGAUUGCACGUCUAAGCAGUAAGGCUGAGUAUUAGGCAAAUCCGGUACUCGUUAAGGCUGAGCUGUGAUGGGGAGAAGACAUUGNGUCUUCGAGUCGUUGAUUUCACACUGCCGAGAAAAGCCUCUAGAUAGAAAAUAGGUGCCCGUACCGCAAACCGACACAGGUAGUCAAGAUGAGAAUUCUAAGGUGAGCGAGCGAACUCUCGUUAAGGAACUCGGCAAAAUGACCCCGUAACUUCGGGAGAAGGGGUGCUCUUUAGGGUUAACGCCCAGAAGAGCCGCAGUGAAUAGGCCCAAGCGACUGUUUAUCAAAAACACAGGUCUCUGCUAAACCGUAAGGUGAUGUAUAGGGGCUGACGCCUGCCCGGUGCUGGAAGGUUAAGAGGAGUGGUUAGCUUCUGCGAAGCUACGAAUCGAAGCCCCAGUAAACGGCGGCCGUAACUAUAACGGUCCUAAGGUAGCGAAAUUCCUUGUCGGGUAAGUUCCGACCCGCACGAAAGGCGUAACGAUUUGGGCACUGUCUCAACGAGAGACUCGGUGAAAUCAUAGUACCUGUGAAGAUGCAGGUUACCCGCGACAGGACGGAAAGACCCCGUGGAGCUUUACUGUAGCCUGAUAUUGAAAUUCGGCACAGCUUGUACAGGAUAGGUAGGAGCCUUUGAAACGUGAGCGCUAGCUUACGUGGAGGCGCUGGUGGGAUACUACCCUAGCUGUGUUGGCUUUCUAACCCGCACCACUUAUCGUGGUGGGAGACAGUGUCAGGCGGGCAGUUUGACUGGGGCGGUCGCCUCCUAAAAGGUAACGGAGGCGCUCAAAGGUUCCCUCAGAAUGGUUGGAAAUCAUUCAUAGAGUGUAAAGGCAUAAGGGAGCUUGACUGCGAGACCUACAAGUCGAGCAGGGUCGAAAGACGGACUUAGUGAUCCGGUGGUUCCGCAUGGAAGGGCCAUCGCUCAACGGAUAAAAGCUACCCCGGGGAUAACAGGCUUAUCUCCCCCAAGAGUUCACAUCGACGGGGAGGUUUGGCACCUCGAUGUCGGCUCAUCGCAUCCUGGGGCUGUAGUCGGUCCCAAGGGUUGGGCUGUUCGCCCAUUAAAGCGGUACGCGAGCUGGGUUCAGAACGUCGUGAGACAGUUCGGUCCCUAUCCGUCGUGGGCGUAGGAAAUUUGAGAGGAGCUGUCCUUAGUACGAGAGGACCGGGAUGGACAUACCUCUGGUGUACCAGUUGUCGUGCCAACGGCAUAGCUGGGUAGCUAUGUGUGGACGGGAUAAGUGCUGAAAGCAUCUAAGCAUGAAGCCCCCCUCAAGAUGAGAUUUCCCAACUUCGGUUAUAAGAUC
rnacentral:rRNA from 1 species